rnacentral:rRNA from 1 species
CUACGGGAGGCUGCAGUGGGGAAUAUUGGACAAUGGGGGAAACCCUGAUCCUGCAAUGCCGCGUGUGUGAAGAAGGCCUGCGGGUUGUAAAGCACUUUCGGUUGGGAGGACUGCUUCUAGCACUAAUAUUGUUGGAAGUUGACGUUACCUUCAGAAGAAGCACCGGCUAACUCCGUGCCAGCAGCCGCGGUAAUACGGGGGGUGCAAGCGUUAAUCGGAAUUACUGGGCGUAAAGCGCGCGUAGGCGGCUAGAUCAGUCGGGUGUGAAAGCCCCGGGCUUAACCUGGGAACUGCAUCCGAUACUGUCUAGCUUGAGUACAGGAGAGGAGAGUGGAAUUCCACAUGUAGCGGUGAAACGCGUAGAUAUGUGGAGGAACACCAAUGGCGAAGGCAGCUCUCUGGCCUGAUACUGACGCUGAGGUGCGAAAGCGUGGGGAGCAAACAGGAUUAGAUACCCUCGUAGUC